rnacentral:rRNA from 1 species
GUCUUUUUGAUAAAAUAUAAAGUCCAUUCUGCUCACUGAAUAUUUAAAGAGCCGCAGUAUAUUGACUGUGCAAAGGUAGCAUAAUCAAUAGUUUUUUAAUUGAGAACUUGAAUGAAAGAAUAGACGAAAAAUUUAUUUUCUUUAUUUCAAUGAAUUUAAUUUUAAAUUUAAGUGAAAAUGCUUAAAUGAUUUUAAAAGACGAGAAGACCCUAUAGAUUUUUAUUAUUGAAAUAAAUUUUAUAUUAUUAUUUAAUUAAAUGAUUUAAUUGGGGCGAUUUUGUAAAAUAAGAAACUUAAAUAUUUAUGACCAUAAAUUAUUGAAUGGUUUGGUCUAAAAUUUUUAAAGAAAAGAUUAAAUUACCUUAGGGAUAACAGCGUAAUUUUAUUUAAGAGUUCAUAUCUAUAAUGAAGAUUGCGACCUCGAUGUUGAAUUAAGAUAAUAUAUUGGAGUAGAAAUUAAUAUGUUUAGUCUGUUCGACUAUUAAAUUCU